CACCUCAUGGAGUCAGCCUUGUGUAAUAAAGAACUACCCAAGUGUCAAUCAACGUUUCAGUGCUAGAAGUUUGCCACUGGUUUGUAACAUGCUGGCAUGUAAAAAGGUUAGACAUCACUAGCUAGUUAUUAAGUGGACAUGAAGUCUUUACAUACACUUACACAAUAUACCAUGACCAGUUUCAAAUGGUGUGGCAUCUCCUUUACAGAUUCAUGUUAUACAUGUCUUACAUAUAUACAAAUAUCCUGGGAUGGUUUACCCAUUAGAGAGAUUAUAGGCGUCUGUCUAAAAGUACAUGCCCUGUGGGGGCGCUGCAGGUACUUACCUGUUAAAAGCCUCCCUCACUGCUUCCACAGUGUUUGCUAACAGAGAAUUGAGCAGUGAGACUGUAGGGGCAUGACUUAUUCAAUAAAAACAGCUUAAUGAGCUAAAGUUGUUUUGCUGCAUUGAAUAUCUCUAUUAUCUAAGAAAUUUUUCAAAAGCACUCUAGUGAUUAGAAAGAGAAAGCAAAUUCUUUAAAUACAUUGUAUAGAUCAGUAGUUCGUACAGGGGAACUCCCGCUUUCAUGGAAGUUGCAGUAAAUAGCAGAAAAUUAGAAGCACAAACCAUAUUUAACUUUGUCGGAGCUAAAAGCAACUGGGUACCUAUAGGUUGAGCAAAACCCUCAGUAGUGACAUGUUCCCCACGCGUUUUCCUUGGAUCUCUUAUGGCUAGGACAAAUACAUCAACCUGUAUUUCUCAGUCCCCAUGUAAUCAAAAACAAAAUGCACUGGUUAAUGUAACUGAACUGCUAUUGUGAGACAAAGGAGACCUGUCUGACACUGGAAAAUGAAGCAGUUUUGUUAAAUUGCUUUUGUUAUACACAGUUAAACAGUCGGUUACUGGGGUAAUUGUGAAAU